GGAGAAGAGGAACUGGGGGGUGAAUCCCUUUGCCCGUGGGACGUCCUGGCUGUGGCGCUGGGUUCCCUGGUGUGGCCCUUAGGUUUGGAGAGGGGAAUCGAGUGGGUGAAGCCUCAGCUCCCGCCUCGCAGUGGGUCCGGUGAUUUAAUCCUCUUGGUGCGUAUGGGAAAAUUAACUGUGCCAGAUGAGCGCGUUGAGCUGCGCGUUACCUCCCCGGAGGAAGGGGCUGGAAUUAUGAGUGACUGCAAUAGCGGUUCGUAGUCAAAGCUCAUUAGCAGGGCUUGCGUUCCUGGUCCUGGCGUUAACUAUGACAGACGUGUGUUUUGUGGUCCCGGAAACAAGUGCUAGUCACGCACAAAUCACGGUGGUCUCUAUAUCCUGCUCGGAAAAAGUGGCAGACGCUUUCAGUCAACAGCAGUUGACUUCUCAGAACUGCUCGUCAGCUGUGAUAAGCUCUUAGGGGAGCGUUUAUGGACACAUGUAAAAUAAUUUCCAAAAAGCAUCCGUCAUCUUUAUCAUCCCCCUACGAAGUAAAAGGGUUUAUUUUGUUGCUGGAAAAGUUUGCAGAGAACUGAAUGAAAUUGGGGAAGAUGGGAGGGAAUUGAUGGUUUUUAGCGUCUUUGCAGACAUGACUCUAGGUUUAAAUACAAGAAAAGAGGGAUAAUUCAUGUUCCUGUAAGACUAAAAACGGGCAGUAAAAAGCCCCUGGUAGCCACAGCCGUGAGUGGUGAGUCAUUGCCCGCCUUGCUUGAGAGCUUUGUCAGCCUCUCACGCUGCAAGCUGGCAGCACCAGGGGACGGACACGGGCGGGAAGCGCCGCGCGGUCUGGCACGCGGCGGAGCUGCGGGAAUAAUCUGAUGCUUUUGGUUUCAUUUAGGUCUGAGCCCUACUCUUCCACAGGUACGUUGUACUACGCCUAAGUUCAAUGUGCCUUAAAAGCGUCUGCGGAGUGACGGGACUUUGUCAUUUCGGUAGCGCUUGGAGUAGUCUGGUGGCUCCUGGAAGCUGAAGGAGUGUGUUUGCUCGUGGUUCUGCCAGAAGAGACCAUCGCUGGCGCUGGAGUGCUGCGGAAGAGAUUUCGGCUUCACGCUUGGCUCUUUAAAUUGUUGGAAAGGUUCGUAGCUGUUGCCGCAGUCAAGCUGCUGGGCAGUUUGCUUUCCUCCCGAGGUUUUGGAGCAGGAGCGGCCCCGUUGCGGCAGCGCCAGUCGUGGCUCUUCGGACACUGCACCGGGCACCGGAGAUUCGCCCGUGCACAAUACCUGCACGGCGUUGAGCGUUGCCCUUUCCAGGGGCCUCUUCCCCGCCGGAAGCUGCGAACGAGUAAGCCGUGCUUUCCAAGGGGAGAUGCCCGCUGCUGGGCGCCGGCACUGCUGGGUUAACGCUGCGUGUGAUGACGGAGACGGCCUCUGCCCAGCGGCGCGGUGGCCCAGCAGUUUAACGGGCCGCAGGGCUGGGCUGGGGAAGGCAGCGGAGCCGCCCUCGCGUUAGAGCCCUGUCUCGGCAUUGCCGGAGGCUUUUUGUGAGACCAGAAUAUUUGGGGAAGUCUUGCUUUAAACACGACUCUGUUUAGAAAAAUGCUGAUGGUUUAAUUUUGAAGUAUUUUUUAAUGUGCUUUUCAGAUGCAUAAAAAUGCUUUCGGCAGGCUGGACCGGGAAGGAACGUUUUGGGUUAUGGGACCGAAACACUUAAACAAAGCCAAAAUAUUUAUUCGUGAUGCAGAGCACAAGCCAUUCUGUGUGGGUGCGUUUGCUAUUUAGAAACUGUUGAAACCUGCUGGGAAAUGUAAAAUCCAGUUCCUGAGCGGCAUUAAUAUCACGCCAGGUGACACGCUCCUAGAAAGCGGGAGCAAAGCGGCCGGGGCUGCGUCGGCGGACAGAGCGCGGACGCUCUGGAGCGCCCCCGGGAGCGCUUCCC
rnacentral:lncRNA from 1 species